rnacentral:rRNA from 1 species
GACGAACGCUGGCGGCGUGCCUAAUACAUGCAAGUCGAACGCAGUGGGGACGGGUGAGUAACACGUGGGUAACCUCCCAUCAGCUGGGAUAACACUUGGAAACAGGUGCUAAACCGAUAUUGAUGGUUUGUCCCGCGGUGCAUUAGCUAGUUGGUGAGGAAACGGCGCAUCAAGGCCACGAUUCAUAGCCGACCUGAGAGGGGGAGCGGCCACACUGGGACUGAGACACGGCACAGAAUCCGACGGGAGGAAGCAGUAGGGAAUCGUCGGCAAUGGACGAAAGUCUGACCGAGCAACGCCGCGUGAGUGAAGAAGGUGUGCGGAGCGUAAAGCUCUGUUGUUAGAGAAGCGGUAACUAACCAGAAAGGGACGGCUAACUACGUGCCAGCAGCCGCGGUAAUUC